rnacentral:rRNA from 1 species
AGACGGAGGGUGCAAACGUUGUUCGGAAUCACUGGGCAUAAAGCGCACGUAGGCGGCCCAAUUAGUUUGGUGUGAAAGCCCUCGGCUCAACCGGGGAACUGCAUCGAAUACUGUUGGGCUAGAGGACGGUUGGGGUGAGUGGAACUCUUGGUGGAGCGGUGAAAUGCGUAGAUAUCAAGAGGAACACCAGUGGCGAAAGCGACUCACUGGACCGUAUCUGACGCUGAGGUGCGAAAGCUAGGGGAGCGAACGGGAUUAGAAACCCCGGUAGUCC